CGGCUCAACCGGAAACAUGCCGUUGAUACUGUAUAGCUUGAAUAUGGUUGCUGUGAGUGGAAUGUGUAGUGUAGCGGUGAAAUGCUUAAAUAUUACACAGAAUAUCGAUUGCGAAGGCAACUCACAAAGCCAAUAUUGACGCUGAGGCACGAAAGUGUGGGGAUCAAACAGGAUUAGAUACCCUGGUAGUCCACACUGUAAACGAUGAUAACUAGCUGUCGGCGAUAGACCGUCGGUGGCCAAGCGAAAGCGAUAAGUUAUCCACCUGGGGAGUACGACCGCAAGGUUGAAACUCAAAGGAAUUGACGGGGGCCCGCACAAGCGGAGGAACAUGUGGUUUAAUUCGAUGAUACGCGAGGAACCUUACCCGGGCUCGAACGGUGCAGUAAUAUGGUAAAGAUAUCAUAGCUAGCAAUAAACUGUAUCGAGGUGCUGCAUGGUUGUCGUCAGCUCGUGCCGUGAGGUGUCGGCUUAAGUGCCAUAACGAGCGCAACCCUUGUCGUUAGUUACCACCAAGUAAAGUUGGGGACUCUAGCGAGACUGCCACCGUAAGGUGUGAGGAAGGGGGGGAUGACGUCUAAUCAGCACGGCCCUUACGUCCGGGGCGACACACGUGUUACAAUGGUAGGUACAGACGGCCGCUACCCAGUGAUGGGGUGCCAAUCUCAUAAACCUAUCUCAGUUCGGAUCGCUACUCUGCAACUCGACUCCGUGAAGUUGGAUUCGCUAGUAAUCGCGCAUCACCCAUGGUGACGAUGAAUACGUU
rnacentral:rRNA from 1 species